CCUACGGGGGGCAGCAGUAGGGAAUAUUGCUCAAUGGGCGAAACCCUGAUGCAGCAACGCCGCGUGGAGGAUGAAGGUUUUCGGAUUGUAAACUCCUUUUGUUAGAGAAGAAAAUGACGGUAUCUAACGAAUAAGCACCGGCUAACUCCGUGCCAGCAGCCGCGGGAAUACGGAGGGUGCAAGCGUUACUCGGAAUCACUGGGCGUAAAGAGCGCGUAGGCGGGAUAGCAAGUCAGAUGUGAAAUCCUAUGGCUUAACCAUAGAACUGCAUUUGAAACUGUUAUUCUAGAGUAUGGGAGAGGUAGGUGGAAUUCUUUGUGUAGAGGUGAAAUCCGUAGAGAUCAAGAGGAAUACUCAUUGCGAAGGCGACCUGCUAGAACAUAACUGACGCUGAUGCGCGAAAGCGUGGGGAGCAAACAGGAUUAGAUACCCGGGUAGUC
rnacentral:rRNA from 1 species